ensembl:snoRNA
CUCCAAUGAUGAUUCAGCCAUGCUAAUACUGAUACAUCGGACAGAUACGUGUUGUCUGUCCGGAUGUAAGUGAGUUCAACUCACCUUCUCACGCUGAUAGUAUCAGUGUGUGCUGAGGAGA